UAUUGCGCACCAACUGUGUAAAACCCUCCGAUUAUUAUGUAAAUGCAAUGUUCGCAGGUAUUUAUCCUCACGAAAACAAUUUUUAUGUCCAGAGCAGAAGAGGCAGUUGAAAAGCCUACAGUACUUCCAAAUUAUUACUCCAAAUAUCUGACAAAAUGGUUCAAUUGCGUCAAUUAUUGCCUAUUUUCAUGGCUCUCUUAUUGAUUCUUCUACUCUCUUCGCAACCGGGUACUGCUUCAAGACUGGCGCGCAGUUGUCAGCGGAUUUGCGAGGAUGGAAGUCGGCCAGGUCCAGGCUGUUCGUGUAGCGAGGAUGAAUAACAAAAUUAUCUACUGAAAAAACAAAUCGACAAAUUCUGGUGCCAAUAUUCAAAUGAGAAUAUCGAGGACGACAGUGAUGUUAUGUAAAAUAAGUUGUGGUUGUUGGAGAUAAAUAUAAAGCAAUUUGGCACAACC